UCUGAGCUUGUGUACAGUGAGAGUGAGAGAGAAAGUGUGUGUGCGUCUGUGGGUGCCAUGUGUUACUUCGUUUGCGUGAGUGUCUAUCUAUCUGCAUGGCGGGAGGAACAAUGGCUGCAGUGAUGUCUUGAGGUGUGGGGGGGAGAACAAUGCGAGGGGCAUCACGUGCCUCUCUGGUUGGCGUUUGUAAGCUGGGACGUUCACUGGGGUAAUGGCAGGGGCAAGGAUGGAAUGAUGUGAAAUGCCUUGCAAAUGCCUGUCUGGCUUCCUGCGAUGGAAAAUAGGCACGGAAACGCAGAGGGAAGAAAUUGAAGCCUUAUUUUUUAGAGACCAGCACAGCAUAAUGGAAAGUCGAGCUGGGGCCGAUGGAGGCAGGCCAGCGAUGUAGUGUGGAAGCAUGGCUCAAGUGGUUGGGGGCUAAGAAACUAUCCUCUUUAGAACUUCCCAAAGGGAGCCUCACAUUACUUUGGCUUGGAAGCCCAAUCAGUCAAUUGAUCAAUUAAAUGAUAUAUGUGCUGCCAUUUCUUCCAGUCAUUAGUCACUGAGGGCUUAACAAAGAAAUCUGAACUUAAAGCCCCAAAAGCAGAGGCCUGGGUGAUGGUGAAAAAGAAGAACUCCGUCGAUGAGAUUUAUAAGAACCAGACACUACAAGGUAACCCAUCCUUCUCCUGCUGGCCACGACUAUCAAUGAAAUCCUGUGUCUCGUGUCUUCCGAUUGCCCAACAACCUGCCCGCUCAACUGACGCCAACCCCUGCUGCAUUUCUAUGUCUGACCACUAGCUGCUUUCUCCCCAACUUUGACUGCCAGUCGUACCUCUCUUCAAGAAACAAACACUUCUCAGACAGGAAGUUCAAACGGACACCUACGAAGAUGGCAUCUCAGGUAAGCAGCACUGGGCUGUAUUGACGUAUCCUAAAAAUGACUUCUGCUGCUUUAGAUUGAACCUUCAUAUCUCAGUUAUUGUUUUCAUAUCUCUAAAAAAUAAGCUGUUUCCUUUUCUCUCAGAGAGUAAGCUGACCAAGGGGUCGAAAAUGUAGAUAAUACCAGAUGUUCACUGUCCGAGGAACAGGCCAUGGAAGCUUUAUUGCUGGCAUAAGUGUCCAUAACCAGAGGUUAUUAAACUGUUCUGUGUUAUUUUUCUCCAUCUAUGCCUGUCUUGUUGUACAUGGAACCUGUCUCACAUGCAUUAAUUAAAAAACCCUUAAGAUGU